rnacentral:rRNA from 1 species
UGGGGAAUAUUGCACAAUGGGCGAAAGCCUGAUGCAGCAACGCCGCGUGAGUGAUGAAGGUCUUCGGAUUGUAAAGCUCUGUCUUUUGGGACGAUAAUGACGGUACCAAAGGAGGAAGCCACGGCUAACUACGUGCCAGCAGCCGCGGUAAUACGUAGGUGGCGAGCGUUGUCCGGAUUUACUGGGCGUAAAGGGUGCGUAGGCGGAUGUUUAAGUGAGAUGUGAAAUACCCGGGCUUAACUUGGGUGCUGCAUUUCAAACUGGAUAUCUAGAGUGCAGGAGAGGAGAAUGGAAUUCCUAGUGUAGCGGUGAAAUGCGUAGAGAUUAGGAAGAACACCAGUGGCGAAGGCGAUUCUCUGGACUGUAACUGACGCUGAGGCACGAAAGCGUGGGUAGCAAACAGGAUUAGAUACCCUGGUAGUCCACGCCGUAAACGAUGAGUACUAGGGUGUAGGAGGUAUCGACC